AUUUGUAGAUAAAAAUGCCCCCAGACCAGACAUUUUCAUUAUUUCCUGUUUUUUUUUUUUCUCUAGGUAUAUUCUUAGAAAUAUUUAAUUUAUAUUUUAGAAGAAAUUGAAAAUGGCUUCAUUAUCUCCUAUUAUUUCAUAAGGCCGUGUAAAAUAUGAACACAUACAAAGAUUGUAAUAAAAAUUUAAGUUACUUGAGGACAGAGAAACCACAUAUGUUCUCUAUGUUCUGAUCCAUAACCUUAGCUUGUAGUGGAAGAUUAUACCUAUUGUGCGACCUGAAUCAACUUUAAUUAGUGUAAGAAAUAAAAAAGAAACAUCCAAAAACAUGCUGAUCAGGUGGCUUCUUGUCAGUCCCUCUCACCAUUGUAAAAUAAGGCAUUUUGGAGCACGUCAUCCUUACUGACAUGUCCAGCUCUCCCAGUCUAAAGUUCCAAACAUUCUAGGAAAUGUGAGGAAAAGGUAGAGGGUGCCUGGGAAGAAAAAUUCUGAACUGAUCCUUAUCCAGAAUUAAGGAAGGGAUUUCUGAUUCUCAGUGAAUGUGUUCUCAGCAUUUCUAAGUUUGGACAAAAUAAUGAAUUGCUUCCUUUGAAGAAAUAUCUUUAGGUGACAUUGUGAAAGGGCGGGGCCUGUUGAAAGAAUUAAAGUGGGUGUGAAUUUAAAGUUAGAGUGCCAGCUACAGAGAGAACGGACCAUCUAGGUUGUCACAGAGCUCUGGUGCCAAGAGGAAUGGACAAGCUCCUGAGAGCAUCAUGUUUAAUUCUAUGGCUUCAGCUAGGCUGGGUGAGCGGCCAGCAGAAGGAGAAAAGUGACCGAGAGCAAGUGAAGCAGAAUCAUCAAUCUCUGACAGUCCAGGAAGGAGGGACUUCAGUUUUGAACUGUGCUUAUGAUAACAGUGCAUUUGACUACUUCCCAUGGUACCGACAAUAUCCUGGGAAAGGCCUUGUGUUAUUGAUAGCCAUACGUUCAGUUGAGAGUAAAAAGGUAGAAGGAAGAUUCACAGUCUUCUUCAAUAAAACUGGUAAACACUCCUCUGUGCACAUCGUGGCUUCCCAGCCUGGAGACUCAGCCACCUACUUCUGCGCAGCAAGUGCACAGUGCUCUGCAGGCACCUGCAGCCAGUACCCAAACGUGCAGCUGGGGUUCCAGCCAAACCCUGCUGUUGGGGCUUAGACUGGCAGAUACGUAGGCUAGUUUCCAUUUAUACAUUGUUGUCAUAGUUGUUAGAUGCCUUCUAGUCCUUUUUAUCAACUCAUAAUGACCCCGUGUGACAGAGUAAACUGCCCCAGAGGGUUUUCUUGGUACAAACUUUAUGGAAGCAGAUGGCCAGGUCUUUGGCCCUCGGAGCCACUGUGUGUGUUGGAACUGCCAACCUUUCAGUUAACAGCCGAGUGCUUAACCAUUUACACCACCAAGGCACCUUUAAAACAGUUAAAAUGGUGAAUGAAAUUUAUGCUAUGUCAAUUUUACCUCCAUUAAAAAAUCACAGGAAAACAAUAAAAAUUACGGCUUAAAUUUAAAAAAGAAAGGGGGACAGAGGUUAAUGGAAUGAUUUUUUAUAACUCUGAAGGAAAUAAAAAAAUCUGUAAAACAAAACUCUAUAUGAGUAAAAAUAUAUCUUGCAAAUGAACGCGAAAUAAAGAUAAUUU